AUAAAUUGUCUUUUUGACACAUCCCCUAUCCAGUCCAUUCCAAUUUUAGACAAUGUAUAUUAAACUUGUAUUUUGUGUAUCUUCUCAAGGGAUGUAGAAAAGACAUUUCCUUACUCAAGAGAAGCACACCUUGUACCUGUUAGAUAAUGAGGAACAAAAAGAUUCAGUGUCUUUUUGUUUUUGGAAUGUACAAGUACCCGGCCACGUCCACUUAUUUGUAAUAUUUGUAUUUUUAUUGAUCUUAGCCUUUUUUUAACUAAUUUUUAUAGUUCGUUCUUAUGUUUUACUGUUACAC
rnacentral:lncRNA from 1 species